rnacentral:rRNA from 1 species
AUGAACGCUGGCGGCGUGCCUAAUACAUGCCAGUCGAGCGAACAGACGAGGAGCUUGCUCCUCUGACGUUAGCGGCGGACGGGUGAGUAACACGUGGAUAACCUACCUAUAAGACUGGGAUAACUUCGGGAAACCGGAGCUAAUACCGGAUAAUAUAUUGAACCGCAUGGUUCAAUAGUGAAAGACGGUUUUGCUGUCACUUAUAGAUGGAUCCGCGCCGCAUUAGCUAGUUGGUAAGGUAACGGCUUACCAAGGCGACGAUGCGUAGCCGACCUGAGGGGGUGAUCGGCCACACUGGAACUGAGACACGGUCCAGACUCCUACGGGAGGCAGCAGUAGGGAAUCUUCCGCAAUGGGCGAAAGCCUGACGGAGCAACGCCGCGUGAGUGAUGAAGGUCUUCGGAUCGUAAAACUCUGUUAUUAGGGAAGAACAAAUGUGUAAGUAACUAUGCACGUCUUGACGGUACCUAAUCAGAAAGCCACGGCUAACUACGUG